rnacentral:rRNA from 1 species
CAGUAGCCGCGGGAAUACGUAGGUGGCAAGCGUUGUCCGGAAUUAUUGGGCGUAAAGGGCUCGCAGGCGGUUUCUUAAGUCUGAUGUGAAAGCCCCCGGCUCAACCGGGGAGGGUCAUUGGAAACUGGGAGACUUGAGUGCAGAAGAGGAGAGUGGAAUUCCACGUGUAGCGGUGAAAUGCGUAGAGAUGUGGAGGAACACCAGUGGCGAAGGCGACUCUCUGGUCUGUAACUGACGCUGAGGAGCGAAAGCGUGGGGAGCGAACAGGAUUAGAUACCCCUGUAGUCCCUGUCUCUUAUAC